UAAUUUUAAAUUAAUUAUAUUAGUACUAUUUUCUCAACUGAUCUCAAAUGAUUUUGUUAUAAAAAUAUGUUGAAUAUAAUUAUACUCAAUGAUUUAUUAAUGUCUUCACUUUUCUGAAACAAACACAUUAUGUAAUUGUUUUGAGUUUAGAUUAUCUUCUAUAAUAAACACAAUUUAGAGUAAUGUCUAACUGAAAAUAUUAGUACUUUAAUUCAUUCUAGGAUGAUUCCUGUGAUUUUUACGUAAAUAUUUUAAACAAAGAUUCCCCCCACACACUCAUAUAUAUUAUGAAUAUAUGGGAUUUCUAUCCAGUAUUGAUUCUUUAAUGCUGAGAAAGGUGUAAGCACCAGUUGAGAGUGUUGUUAAAUUCUUUACACUUGCUGUGUUCUAUUUGAUAUGUAUUCUUUGAUAUUGGAUAAGGGUUGAGCAUUUUUUGAAAACUUC
rnacentral:antisense_RNA from 1 species